rnacentral:rRNA from 1 species
AUUGAACGCUGGCGGCAGGCCUAAUACAUGCAAGUCGAACGCAGUGGGGACGGGUGAGUAACACGUGGGUAACCUCCCAUAUGAGGGGAUAACACUUGGAAACAGGUGCUAAACCGAUAUUGAUGGAUGGACCCGCGGUGCAUUAGCUAGUUGGGGAGGUAACGGCUUACCAAGGCUAAGAUGCAUAGGCGGACUGAGGGGGUGAUGCGCCAAAACUGGACUGAGAACAGGCCCAGAACUCGUAGGGAGGCAGCAGUAGGGAAUCUUCGGCAAUGGACGAAAGUCUGACCGAGCAACGCCGCGUGAGUGAAGAAGGUUUUCGGAUCGUAAAACUCUGUUGUUAGAGAAGCGGUAUCUAACCAGAAAGCCACGGCUAACUACGUGCCAGCAGCCGCGGUAAUAC